GAUUCAAGAACUGUCCUUUCCUUGGGACCCUACAUCUCUCCCACAGUUUAUCCCUGCUUGUAGACAGCACCUAAUUUAUCGGCUCUGAAUUAAUGGUGGGAGAGGCUUCUCCUCUGGUUGUAAAAGGAUCCUGGCUCUUUCCAUGUGCAUAGUGAGCCGCUUUGGCUGGAAUUGUCCUGCUGCCAGCAGUACUGCAGCCCUUAAAUCAGACAUCUUCACCCCAGCUGUGGCUCUUGGAGACUGAAGCAUCAGUGACGUGGAAGUUGAGAGCUGAGUCCUCUUCAUAAAUAAUGGGGCCAGCACCUUCUUUCAGGAGACAACCUCCAUGAAGCAGUUGAUCUUGGUGGGAGAGUGUGAGCAACCUCCAAAAGGGCCUGACUAAGCCCAGCCCAGGCAGACCGUGGCCCCAACUUGAGCCCGAGCCGCGGUUUUCAGGCUGCUCGUUCUGCUCUGUACUUCCCGGAGUUGUCACCAGAGGGGGACAGAGCCCCACGCACCACAAGUGCAGAGUGACAAUCCUUCCCCCACGGCAAAACCCCCUCCAAGAGCUAGUCAGGCUGGGAGAAAGCACAGAUCAGGUGGAGAACAUCCUGAGGAUCCGCAAAGCCCUGUCAGUCAUACCAAAGUCCACUUGUGGUCACCGCCCGAGUGUGAGUGGAAAGGGAACAUGUCCCAUCUGUUCCUGCUGUCCCGAGGGACAACACUGCUGGGACAGGAUUUACCAGUGUCGCCCAGGAGAAGGUGAGGCCUUGCAGGACUCGUUGCUUGCUGGUGUGGAAAUGAUAUUCAGCCAACACUGACCUCAUGUUAGUGACCUAUGUCUGUGCCAGGUACUUCUGUGGGGGAAAACCCCCCCAAAUUAUUUACUUAAGAAUGGGAAAAUUGCUCUCAAUGAGUAAUUAUGAAGAAAAGAACUGGAACGAUGACGGCAUUAUCUGGUAUGGUAACAUAGUAUGAGAAAUUGCUUUCUUUUCCUAGAAGAGUGUGUGAGAAUUCAGUAGAAUCUGGGCAUUUUUGCUAACCAGAAUUUUGUUUACUUUAAUAGAAUUAAUGUUCUCCUGCAAUUUAAAAAUAUCUUUCUGACCUUUUUUUUUUUUUAAAAAAAAAAUCAAUAAAAUAUAUGAAAGUGACUCUUCUGAUCAUCUUCUAUUUAAUAGAUGGGUAUUUUUCAAAGGGACGAUUACAUCAAAGUUUUCCAAUGAGCAAUGUGGAUUGGAUACGGCCGAGAAAAACAGCUGGCUUAGGUCCCACUUGUUCUGGUUUCUCCCAUCUACGAAACAGGUAGAGAAGUAAUUUUAUAGGUGACAGGAUGAGAUGGUGAAGAGAACAUGUCAGAAAAACAGUCCCUUUUACCUGAUUUUCUUUUUUUGACAAAGAUUUGAAGAAAGCUUUCAACCUUGUCCAACAGAAUUAUAUCCCAUUAGUGUGACUGCUCCUGGAGUUUGAUCUUCCCUGAUGUACCCUGCGAAAUUACUUGUGAUGUUUGUAUACUGCCAUUAUUUCCAUAGUUUGGGAUUUCAUUCUGGCUUGUUCUAGAUUUGAACUUCCCCAAGGUCCAGAUGUUGUCGGGAGCCUGGCUGGACUAAGCUCUGGGAGAUGAAGCAAAAACACUCGGUGUUGUUUCUGUGUCUUAAAUGCAAGUUCAGAGCUCUCUUGUUUGGUGCCUUGGAUAACUGAUGACAAAAGAGAUUUGGAGUUUGGAUAAGAUAAGAAUUAAAUGGAAUAUUUGUCUUAAACCAGCAAUGCACUUGAGCUGUUCGGGAGGUUCAAAGAGUUGUGCUCGUUUUUAGAAUAAUCUUUGUUUUCUUCAUCUCCUAAAAUUCUCUGUGCUGAUGUUGAACUCAAGCACUAAAACAAUGAAUAGUCCCAAACGCCACGGGGUGAUAGUACAUUUUGCUUUAAAAUUUCAUGAUAGCAAAUGUUCUUGUCCUUCUUUUGUCACAGCAAAAUGCCACAGGAGUUACAAACAUCACAUGUGACUCAAAGCCUUGAGAGACCGUUUUCCAGUUUGCCAAGAAAGCGAUGACUCCACCGAGCUGCUGAUUUCAGAGAUGGGCUCAGGCUGAAAUAUUCAUAUUUUCCCAGCUCCUAUAAGCACUAAAGCUCAGUUUAAAACAUGUGCUUCCAUUUACUAGAUCCGGCAAAGCACCUGAAGUCAGUGUAAUUAACCGUGUGCAAACACACCCCUGAACAGGAAUUACACACUGCAGCCCCAGUCUUCACCUUCCAGGGUCGAUCUCCACCGAAGCCGCUAUUAAACAUCCUCGCUGUGACGCCUCUCAGUGCAGUGCACGAACGCCCGCCCUCCCUGCCAGAAGGAGGAUUAGAAAGCUAAAGUCUUUAACCUGCCUGUCAAACAAAAUUAUUCAUGUCAGUGAACCUGCAUUGGAUUUUACUCGCCUUGGCAAUGUGCGUGGUAGUAACAGUGACUAUAAAUGUGCUUGAAAACCGCAUUGCCCAGCACUUCACGGUCAUCCCUUAUGGUCUUAAAACCACAUUUUGAUUAUUGGUUUGCUAAUGCAAGCAGAAACGAGUCACAAAAAUCUUGCUGCAAACAAAAACCGUAAGUCAAAGAGAGUCUUUCUGUUCCCUUACUGGACUUUGGCUCAGACAUUUGAUGUAGGGAAACAAAGGAGAUUGCGACCAGCGGCUGAUCUGAGGAGAUCCCGUUUAACAGGCAGCAGUGGCCGGACAGGUAAAUAGAGCAGGUGGGUGGAUAUUGCUGUAACAUAUGGCCACAAGGGCAUUGGAGUGAGGCCUUUAAUUUCACAUUAUGAUUCUUCUCGUAUUUGUUAGAUAGAACAAUAUUAACCUUUCGAAUUUAUUUAGAAACUCAUUAGCGCUUUUUCUAUAGUCCAUUCUUUUCCUGAUUAGCUCUCCUCAUUACAAUUCAAAUUUCUUUCUGCUACAUUUACCACAUUGUCCUGCUUUCUCUCAUCUCUAUUGUUGCUCCGCUUAAUUUAUUAAAGCAACGAAAAAGGAAGCGGGGGGAUCGGUUGACAUAGUCCUGGGUGUUUUGGAAGGGAGGAGGAAGGAGACACCUGUGAGCUUUCCUCUUCCUCAGUGUGCCGGGGUGGGCAGAGCACAGAACCAUAGAAUAGUUUGGGUUGGAGGGACCUUCCCAGCUCCCCCAGUGCCCCCCCUGCCAUGAGCAGGGACAUCUUCAGCAGCUCAGGUUGCUCAGAGCCCUGUCCAGCCUGGCCUGGGAUGUCUCCAGGGAUGGUUCAUCCACCACCUCUCAGGCCAACCUGGGCCAGGCUCUCACCACCCUCAAGGGCAAAUAUCCCUUCCUCAUGUCCAGCCUGAAUCUCCUCUCCUUUAGUUUAAAACCAUCACUCCUCGUCCUAUCGCAACAUGCCCUGCUAAAAAGCGCGGUGGCAGCAGUUUCUAUACAAGCACGUGAUGCAAACACGGUUCAUAGUGGCAGCACCAGCUAAAAGACUUUCUGAAUAUGCCUUAUUUUGUGCUCAAAGCUGCCAGCAAAAACCUCUAGUGCAGGGUGACGGCAGCUGCCUCCACACGUGCCUGCGGUGACCCUCACUUGCUGGGUUUGCUUUAGCUUGCGGAGACUUGACUUUCCCGCUUUCUCAUUUCACUUGUUGCUCAAUCUCAGAGUUUUUUAAAUGGGAUUCACUCUGAAACUUCAGUGUCCUCAUCACAUCCUGGAAGCGUAUUCAACUAAUCCCCCUGACUCCUCCAGCAUCCUGUUUCUAAGGUUAUUUUAAAAGCUAUGUGUAUUCCUCUAGUAGCAUUUCUUUUGUGUACUUUUCCUUAGUAUCAAGAUGGAAGUCUGGGAGUCGCUGUAAUUGCUCUUGAAUUCACCCAUUUCCAGUGGAAUUGACAUUUUGGUCAAGGUUUUUUCAACAAGAGACCUGAGCCUGUCCGUGUUUUGGGGGAACAGGAAUGGGGAGAUGCUGAGCUUCAGAUGUACACUUUGACAUUUGCUGCCCUGCUCUGCAAAACAUUUUCUGUCAGGAAUAUGCAAUUUUGUGCCUUUUUUGUUUGUUUUUAUCAGUACAGCGCUUGUUUCUCAAGAGCGAUGCUGCUGUAUCCCAUGUGCUUGUGAUUAAAGAUGCAUGUGCUUUCGACAACAGAUGAUUAAAUACAGCCAGAUGACUGUGACCGUCCCAGUCGUUGUGGUUCUCUGAUUAUCGGUGUAUUUGAACAUCUCACAAAUGUGAAUGGAUGUGCUUUUGCAGCAGCUAUCGUAAAACAAGGAAGAGCCGGAGUAUUUUAUUUGAGGCACUGAGGGAUAAACUCACUCAGCAAAGGUUAUAGAAAAAGGUUUUGGCAGAGCCUCAAAAAGAAUCAAAACUUCUGAGUUUCUACUCCAAUGCCUUAAUCAUAAAAUCAUUUUUUCUCUGAAUUCUUUUCCGUCUGUGGUAAUUAUAGUUUGGGCUGGUUUUAUGUCCUUUAUAAAAACCUGUCUUUCACGCAUCUUGUGAAACUAAAAAAAAGGAAGCUAAAACAAUCAUAAUUUUCCAAGUGUAUAAUUCUGGACUCCAGCAGGGGCCUAAAACAAGUAAGGUAAUUAUUCCACUCAGUUCAGCACCGUUUGGAGAAUUAGGCUAUUUUGUGAAUUGUAGUUUUAAAAUAAGACACAUGAACUGGAAAAAGUUCAAUGAGCAACAUGUAAAAUGAAAUAAAUUCUUGCAAAUAUCAGCUAAAAGAGAAGAGGAGCCGGCCGUAAGCCUUUGGCAUGAAGGUGAUAGGAAGAAGACAGGGAAGAUCAGCAAUGUUGAGGGAAGCUUAUGGGGAAAAUACCAGAGCAUACUUUCAGGGCUAAAUUAAUUCCUGGUGCAAGUUGAACUGAAAAAGACUUUCCCCAAGGAUGAAUUUGGCCCGUGGGCAAUCACAGGAGGUCAGUCGGGAGAAGCUGCCAAGAGGGGGUGGACCCAGCAUUAGAAGAGUUGUUGAAGUCUAGACUAGAUGUGCAUUUGUUAGCGAUGGUUAAUUAACUUGUUCCUGGCAAUCAGCCACUAGGGCAGGAGGUGGGCUGGAUUUGCAAGUAGUGAUUGCCAAGAAAGUCACCCAUAAUUGCCUGCGAUCGUGUGGCUUUCUGAUUUUUCACCUUUGUCUUUUGUCCCCCUCUAAAUGCAUUUUGUAGAUUUCUGUUCGGUUGGUUUGUUUUGUGUGUGUGUUCUGUUUGGUUUGUUUUGUGUGUGUUGUUUUGUUUUUUUUUUCUUCAUCUCUUUUCUCUCCACAGGCUUCAUAUAAACACUGUUUUCAUGCUUUUUGCUACUGAUGUGACUGAACCUCUGCCACGGUCUGAUGUUGGGUGCCAGUGGUGACCGAGGAACAUCAGCCAUAAGAAAGAAGAGCAAAGUCACCUGUGGUUGCAGAAGAGAUUCAGGACCGUUACCUGUGGCUGAGGAGAGCACAGUGCACUCAUAUGUGUGCUGCAGGCCACCCUUGUAGGAUUAAUUUCUAGUUCUGAAUAGCUUCUAUGUGCUAACAGCCCCACAGGGUUGGUUUCUGUGCCAUCUCCCCAGACAACCCUUCACUUUGGUUGCAGUUCCAGUUUGUGUUGUGUGAUACCUGGACACCCUCUGUUGUACGAUCUAGCCACGAAAUUAAGAUGAAUGAAAGAUUUUGCUGCUAUUUCACCCUCCAGUCGACCCUAACCUGGGCUUGAAAUGAACUUUGUGACAAAUCCACCUCUGCAGCACACAUGGCUCCAUCUUUCUGUUCAUCUCACCUAUAGACAACAACUUUCUUUGCAUCCCUGAAGCUAAAGAGAAGAAGAGUUUCCACUGAAGGGCUGUUUCACACCUGUAAAUAUUGUAAACGUGGCAGUAAGGACUCCACAGGUUUGGGUAUUCACACCCAAAGUAGGAAACCACUGCUCAGGGAAAGUGAAGGUUGAUCCCUGUGCUGCACUGCUCCAAGUCUGCGGUGUAACCAGUAUCUUGACAUCUGCCCUCACACCACAGCCCUGCAGAUGUGACGUGGAUGGGAGAGCUGCCCUCUGUCAUCUCUGAUGAGGAACGCAUUUAUUUUUACUGCAGGUCCUGCAUAUCAGAAUACCUCCUGGAUGCUGGCUGAGACAAGGCAGAGAAGUGGGGGAGUUGAGAUGUGCUGGCUGACCAAGUAUCAAUGGAAAGAGUGAUGAGAUCCUGGGGCCAGAGAACCACAGGCAUGUCCAGGACUCUGGGUGCACUUUGUUCAUGUCCAUCCAAGCUUCAAACAGUCAAAGGCACGUGGAGCUCCUUUGAAAACCAUGGUUAUGGAUUCUAUCGUGGAUGAACCUGUGUGUGUGUCAGCGAUGCUGAUCAGCAGGCUCAAGGCUAAGACGGUGUGACAGUGACCUGUGACUCAAGUUGUGGUGGUGAUAAAGACUUAGCACCUGGAUUUUUCCCUGAAACCACCAGAUGGGGCAUCAAGGCCUUUGAGAGGGACCCAGCAUCCUGGGAAGGUGCCUGGCUCUACACAGCACCAAAAGAAGGUCCACCUGGCCUGUUUCUGACCUGCUUUUGUCCAUGGAAGGUCCACAGCCUGGAACGCUUUCCUGAGGAAGGGAGCUCCAUCCCUCUCUCCAGAUCCCAAGGUGGGAUGCGAGGAUGUGUAAGUAUUGCGGUAAUUGCUGUAUCGCUGCCGGUGCUCGCAGGGCUGGAAGGACGUGAGCUGACUGCGCUCUCAGAACAAAACGCCUGGGCUGCAUCUGCUUAACUGCUUGUUUUCAAGUCCCACCAAGCCUGUGCAGACUGAAAAGCUGUUAAUAGUAUAAAUACAGCAUGGUUCUUACUCCAUCUUCCCCAAAAUCUUCCAGUGCUGGCUUGGCUUACUUGAACUUGCUGUGAUUUCGCUAAAUACUAUAGGCCAACGCUCAGACCUUUCAAAUAUUUCAGUGCCCAAGUCCUAUUGAUUUAAAAGGGAAUCAAUGUUUUAAAUGCUUUUGAAAAUCUGCUGCUUGGACCCUGUCUGUGCAGUUGCGUCAGAGUCAGCCUGAAAUACCACAUUUGGUACAUCCCUACUAAAGUGGGGGAGUAGUUAGGUAAAACCUAGCUGAUGUCUUUUAACUACAGAGUAUUUACCACCUUGCACCAUGAAAGAGGAGAACCAAACCCUCCCCCAGGAGCUGAUGUUUCCAAUUUAAGAAUUGUUUUCUGAUCAUUUACAUUCGCAGCUGUUGGCUGUAAAGUAUUCUGACCUUUAUCUUUCCCUGUGUAGCAGGUGAGGUCCAACAGCGCUGGGUGCGAUGCUACAGCUGCCAGCUGUGGAUUUUCAUGUAGUGAGUGCUGCAGGAUGCUGUGGCUCCCAGCCUGCAUCCCAGACCUGCCACAUCUUACAAGGCUUCUUCCAGCUACAUAGAAGAAUAAUGGUGCUCACAUGUUGGAGAAGGAGGAUCACCGCUGCAACAGGGGGCAUGAGAUGCUGGGAACCUGUAGAAGCCAAAGGUUUGACCCCUUUCUGCAGGGAUCUGGGCAGUUCAGGGUUUCUCUCCAGAGCUACUUCCAGAAGAAAGUUGAAACUCCUGAACAGAUGGGAAUUUGAAGUUCAUUUAAUUCACAUCUAGCCAUGGGGGCUGGAGGAAGAGUCCCAUUCCUGGUGACUGUCCUGGAGCAUCAGUGUGAGUGUAACAGGACUGGGGAGUCCCAUGGCAAGCCAGAGAGCAGAGGAAAUUCAGAACAGAGAGCAAGCAGCUGGGCGACAAAUGGGCAUAUCUUCUGUUACAGUAUUUGGAUCACAGAAAUAAUGAGACAGUAUUUCAGACCCUGGAAAUACAGCAUGAAAUCCCGGCCCUCCUGAGCACUGUGUGAAGAAGCCAUUAACCCUUGAGGAACCAGGACUUCACCACCAAUCCCUUCACUGGAUGUCUCAUCUUUAUUGACCCUGGAAAGUUUUCUAAAACUGAUAUGCUUCUGAAUCAGUCAUCAGGCUGGGCUGCUACAGAUGGAAAACCAGAGAUGUUAUCUGGAGAGGGCUUGUGUGCCACCAGCUCUCUCUGUGCAGAGGUCGCUUCACGCUGAAGAGCACUGUGCAUAAUUACUGCUCCCUCUUGCUGUUCGCUGCUGGCAAGGCGGGUGCUUCCACAGCUCCAAACAUCCCAGACAUGCUGUUUCCACCUUUCCCUUUCUUUGCUUGAACGAAACAUCCCACUUCAAAAGGUGGAACAGAUCUCUGCAGGUAUACAGUGAUGCCCACAUCCUCCCAUGUGCACCCCACCGUCUGGAGCCAAUGUGGACCUCUGAGCUUGCCCCACUUGUCCUCUCACUUCCCUGUCCCCAUCCCACCUUGCCACCUGCUGUGUGCAGUUCCCGGGAGCAGCAGGUGCCCGUGUGGUGGUUGCUCAGCGGAGCAAACUCUCCAUGAAACAGCACAUCAUCCUGGCACAUCACAGCCCAUCCCCUCUCUUCCCGCUGGCGUCUUUCACUCAUUUUACACCUGUUAGGCUGCCGCAGCUCCUGGUCCCUCAGCUCAUGUCACGUUCCCUUUCCCUCUCAUUCUCAUGGACUGUCACAUCCACCAGCAUGAAACACUCGUGUUUCGGCAAUGGGGAGAUUUUGGAAAGUCAUUUCUUUUCAAAGUGCUGCUGAGAGGAGCCUGUUUUAUCUGUGUUCUCCUCAGACUCACCUUCUUCCUCACACUUGCUCUGCCUCUCAGUAUCUCUUAAAAUCAGCAUUGAAUUUUCAAGGCCAUGUACUCUCUGAGUCGUCAGGGCUGUCUUAAUCCCACCAAGGCAUAUUUGGAGAGGAAGAUGGGGAGCGUGGUUGGAGGAGGAAGAAAGCUGGGAAGGAGACAAAAACUACCCCUCGAGACCUGCCGCAACUAUGUUUUGUUCAUGAGAGUGAGUGUGGCCUGGAAAGGAACCUUUGCUUGUGUUGACUCCAGGCUGCUCUGAGACAUACAAAGUAUUGUAUUUUUGGAGCCCUGUCUGCAGGCAGCAUAGUAAUGGGAUGGAUCUUGAUUGUGCAGACAUUCAUCCAACCUCUGUGCUGGUGGGCAUGCGGAAAGAACUACAGCAGGAUGGAUAAGCCUAGCUUAGAGUAGAGUAGCAGUCAGAUCCACUGUAGGCACUGAUUUAUACCAACUAAGGAUCCAGCCUGUGCAAUCUGGUUGAACCUUAAUUUCUGCUCAGAUUCCACUUUCCGUUAGCACUCUGUGAGCAUUUAUUUGACAGCAGAAAUUUUUCACUAUCUUAGAGAAAGCAGUCACGUUUCAGGGAAAGCGACUGCGCUCGGUUCAUCUGCACACCCGCGUGCACUUCCAGACAUGCACAGAGCUGAAUUUUGCAUAAUCACAUUGGUUCUUAACCAUGGCAAUAUAUUCACAUCUUCAGACACCUGACAGUCAGACCCAGCUCUCUAGCAGCCUGCCUGCUGGAAAAGCAAUUUUAUUUGCGCAAAGGCAUCAGUGGGGAGUUUAAAGGUAUCUGGCACCCUAUGGAGAGCCUUUUGGGCUAACCAUUGCAAGGGGGGCAUCCUGCCCAAACUUGGUAUCAAAGUGAAACUCCAGUCAUCAAGCAUAAUUGCAAACUACAUCCAGCAAAGGAAAAUGAACUUUAAUUGACUAACAGGUGAUUUGAUCAGCUUGUCUUUCACUCUGAGGUGAUCCAUCUGCUUGUUGAGUUACCUCAGUCUCCAGGGAUUCAAUUCUUGUUUUAGCCAAAGGGGAUGCAGAAAUUCUAUAGCUGAGGAAAAAAAGUGGAAAAAAAACCCACAGGGAAUUUACUACUUUUACUUCUUACACAGCCAUUUACUACUUCUCCUGUACAUCUGUACAUCUUCUCCUGUACAAAACCAGAAUGCAAUAACAAUACCAAGGUUUCCCCAUUUCUGCUCACUUGGGCUGAGCUAGCAAUAAUUUGGUCUCAUACUCAGGCUUUUAAAAGAGAUCUCCAAUGAAACAAUCCCAGCUAACGAUAAUUACAUUUUCAAAUUAAUAGUGGUUGUUGUUGGAUCCUGGUGCACUCCACUGAAUUUCAGUGCCCUUCCCUGUGGUCUGAGCGGAGACGUGUGUGGCUGACAUGUCAGGGAUGCUGCAGGCAGGACUGAUCCUGCCCUGGGGCCAGAGAAUAAACCAGGGGAUCUCCUGAGGCUCCCUCAGGCUCUGAGCUCCUGCGGUGCUCACGUGCUUUGCCUACCUCUCUGUAUUUGAGUAUAUAAAAGAAAAAGCCUUGCAAUAUGACAGAGAGAUGUCACUGCCGCAAAGCUGAGAAAACAUCUCUGGUAGAAAUGAAGUAGAAAAUGCAACCAUCUCCAAAGUUUUUGUGGCCACUGGAAGGAAAUCUCCUUUCUUCCAUGAUAUGAGCCAAGAUCUUAAGUGGCUUAAAUGGGAAACUUAAGCAAGUUAAAAGAGGAUAAAAUAUUUUGCUGAUUUUUCCUUUUUUUGGAACAUAAAUAUGAUUUGGGUACAACGGACAUGAAGAGCUGUAAUGCUGUUUUUCCCUCUCAUCUACAUUUGAAAAAAAGGAAAACAUUUAUGGAUGGAGCCAGAAUAUGAUCUUGAUUAAUACAUCCAGAUGUAAGGCUGAAGUGAAUCUCGUGCUAUAAAUGCAACUGUUUCAGGCUCCCACUUGUGUUAACAGAUAAAAAUCUAACACAGAGGUUCCAAAAAAUUCUCGUGAACCUUCCAAAGCUCAACCAGGCCCACAUGCAAAGUCCAAAAUAAAUUGAAUUUACUGGAAAAUCCCCAAGAUUAUGUCUAGAGUGAUUCCAAGACUUUUCUUUUUUCCAGUUCAAAUGAGCCCUAUUGCACAUUGGGAAUGUCUGGAGGAGCAAUACAGCCUAUUUCAUAAAACCUUAUUAUAUAUUUUAAUGCACGCAAGGUAACCAUGAAAAUGUCUCUGGGGCAUUUUGUUUUUUCAGUUUUAUAAUUUCAUGUACUCUUUGGUUACUUAUGAAAAGCCCUUAAAAGGAACACUUUUGCGAUGUUUAUUUUAUCUCUACAAGGGCUACAGCUGCUGAAUCAGACUCUGUACUUCAUGGAUGUAUUUUAGUCAGUUAAGUUUGAUGGGCUGACAAAAGUGCAACAAAUCCCAGUGAGUCAAGUAACGCCACUUCAGAAACAACCCCCAAACCCAGGUGGCAGAGAGCCUGCAGCAGGCACUCAUCCACCCCAAAACUGGUGCUCAAGAUAUUCUUUCCUGCCUUCAUAUAACCUCCAACAUCAGUUGGAGGCUUUGCUUGCAUCACCGAUAGAUGUCAAAAAGCUAUGUAUACCAUACCAUCACCAUAGAUCACACGUGACUUAGAGAGCAGCGUAGGGGAAAGGGACCUGUGGGUCCUGGGGACAGCAGGGUGACCAUGAGCCAGCACUGGGCCCUUGUGGCCAGGAAGGCCAAUGGUACCUGGGGUGGAUUGGAAGGGGGUGGUCAGUAGGUCAGAGAGGUUCUCCUGCCCCUCUGCUCUGCCCUGGGGAGACCACACCUGGAAUAUUGUGUCCAGCUGUGGCCCCUCAGUUCCAGCAGGACAGGGAACUGCUGGAGAGAGUCCAGCGCAGGGCAACAAAGAUGAUUAAGCGAGUGGAGCAUCUCCUGUGUGAGGAAAGGCUGAGGAUGAGCUGGGGCUCUUUAGUUUGGAGGAGACUCAAGCUAUCUUUGCUGUGCACUGCAGAGCAUGGUAAAAAUUGAGGUCAAUACACAGAAUAAGUCCACCCUGCAAGGAGGAGCCCUGGGACUCUGUCCCCUUUCCAUAGACAGGCGAGAGGUCCCCUGGAUGGGGAUCUCCAGGAAGUCACUGUGGAAAGCAGGGAUGAGCUCUAGCUGUCCACUGAGCUCCAGCUGAGAAAGGGGCAUUUCAGCUGAAAUAUGACAAGGCUGUUACACUUCUGGCACUGAAAUGAGCACAGGGUGACACUGUUGUGUCUUGAUCUGGGUGAAGGCUGGUGACCUUUGAGCAGUUUCACUUUUUAGCGACAAUUACAUUGCAUAGACAACUCCUUAAAUGUAAAAUAAUACCUUUUUUCCCCUAAAGUGCAGAGAGGUAUAGUACCAGGGCUCUGACAGGCAUCUGUUUCACUUUGCAUUUUCAAUUCUGGCUCUGAUAAUGGGAGCUCUUGCACAAGAAAUAAAAAAACAGCAAGAGUCCCCAUUAUUUACCAACGUGGAGAGGUAUGAAUCACAGAGCAGGUAAAGCCCUGCUCCUGUGAUUUCGGUUUUAUGGGUCGUUACUGUAACUGGCUUGCAAUGCUCUUCUUUUAACGUACAAACGGCACCACUUUAUUUAUUGUGGGUGGGAUUGAUUCCCCUCUCAAGGGGUCCCCAUUAAACCCAGCAUUAUUUGCACUGAGCAUGGGAAGAGAGGCGUUAAUUCUUUAGUCAUGUGAAACCCUUCUUUAAGGCUUAGCUUUAUUUCCUCCAUCGCUGAGCACCCUCACAGGCUGGUAGCUAUUGUGGCACUGCAAGUUCCAGUAGGAGCUAAAAGGUUUGUGGAGGUAGAAAAGCUCAAUUUCGCUGUCCAGGUGUCUGCUAAGUUAUACUUAGUCUCUGUUUUGUAAGGGAGUUUCAGUGUAUGUUGGCAUUGUAAGGAAUAACUGUUAUAAAAAGUAAGGUACCUGAUUUAUUUUAGCCCCUGUAAAAGAUUCGGAGCAAGCUCAACCCCUGCAGCUUGAAUUCUUUGUCUUGACAAGUGAUUGGGAACACAGUGAUGGGAGCACAGCUGCAACAGGCCCUGGGAUGUUUUCACAUGCAGUGUGAAAUACAGCGCUGCUGCUCAGGGUUUGGUCUGUUCCUGCAGAGAUUGUACCUGGAUGUGCAAACUACCAGCUCAGAUACUCAAGAGAAGGUGCUGUUACAGAUUUGCCAGACCUUUACUUGAGAUGCUUAUUUUUAUUUUUAUUUUUUUUGUAAUUUUUCUCCUUCAGCUCGUUACAGUGCAGGAUAUUUGGUAUUCUUGGAUCUAUUGGAGGAAUGCACUCUACCAUCCUCCAGAAACCAAGGAAAGGGCAACACUUCAGACUUGCCUGCCCUGCCAGUGGUGGAAACGUCCAAACCUCUGAGUUAGCUUGGCUGGGAAAGAUGUGCUGUGACAUGUUCAUUUGUUGCCUGUGACAGAUCAGAGCUACUGCACGCAGGUCUACCUGUGAUACCAUCACACCCCCAUGCUGUCUGGUAGAUGCAAGACAAGACACAUCCUCAUUUACCCCUGCAUCACCAGGUGACUGAACUGGCAUAUGGCUUCAGCUGCCCUGACUCCUUCUACCCAAACAGAGCCACUGAACUAUGUCAGAAGGCCAUCCAAGCUCGCUGUGAUCAAGGGAGAUAGCAAUUGAGCCCAUCCGUGGUCACCUCUGGAGACUCUUCAUCAGUUGUGGUCUGAGUGGUGGUGAUGGUCCUGUGCCCUGAAGGUGUAUUGAGCACCCCCAGUUCCUCACACCGCAGUGGGGCUGUGCAUCUUCCAGUAGACGAGUGGUUCAUGUGCAUUCAUGCCUGCAAGUCACGCACACCCUCUCAAAGCCAAGGCCAGAAGAACAGAUGGUGCCUGCCAGACGAGAUUUGGGAAGGCUUAAUGACCACCAUCAGGAUAGAAAUGAUGUUCACUGAGUCUGGAGCAAACCCAACCCUUCACCAUGAAAAAAACCCUGUGAUCUGAAGGGAGAAGACAGAGGGGAAAAUAAUUAAGUGUGGUACUGCAUGAUCAAGAAUUUUAAUCCUUACCUGCAGCUGGGAUGUGUUUUGCUGAUAUGGAGAGGGGAAGAUUCAGUUUAGAAGAAGCCCAUAAGAAAGAUGGGGACAGACUUUUUAGCAGGGUCUGUUACAACGGGACAAGGGGUGAUGGUUUUAAACUAAAAGAGGGAAGAUUCAAGCUGGACAUGAGGAAGAAAUUGUUGUCCCUGAGGGUGGUGAGAGCCUGGCCCAGGUUGGCCUGAGAGGUGGUGGAUGAACCAUCCCUGGAGACAUCCCAGGCCAGGCUGGAUGUGGCUCUGAGCAACCUGAGCUGGUGAAGAUGUCCCUGCUCAUGGCAGGGGGGGCACUGGGGGAGCUGGGAAGGUCCCUUCAACCCAAAAGGUUCUGUGGUUCUAUGAUUCUAUGAUUUUAGCCAGUCCCACAGAACCCUGCUCAGUCCUUUCUGAGUUCUUCUCCUCUGCGUCCAUCCCCUGUGCUGACAUGGGCAUGAUCUGGCCUGAUGCAACCAUUUCUAGGUCACUUUUUUCCUGCUGUGACACACUAAUGUAUGAUACAGGUAAAGAAAAUGUGCUUAAAUAUUGCAAGUCUUAAAAAAUGUUUUAUUCUGGUACCUGCACAACCCCAAGUCUGUCCUAGUAAGGUUAUUGCAACAAAUAACUGAUCAAACAGGAUUCAGUGGGCAGUUAUUUUAAAGUGCUCCCAAUCUUGUUUGGUUUUGAUAAAGAGGAUAAAUAGAGAAAUGCACAUAUUCACAUCCGCAUGAAAACCAAAAUCACAUGUGGCAGAGAUAGUCAGAAACAAUAAAGUCCAAGAUUGAAAAAUGAAAGAGAAGUAUAAAGCCUUGUGGUUUAAUAUGAAGGAAAAUAUAUGACAGAAUCUUUCAUCUCUGACCAUGUUUGCUGCAAAGUAAUAAGACACGUUGGCUCUGAAUGGAGAAGAUAAGAGAGUGGGAUAAGAAACAAGCUUUGGUACAACAAUCAUGGGAGCUAAAUUAUUGCCUUGUUUUUAUUAUUACAGGCACAGAAAUACAGUGGAAAGAUGUAGCUGCAGGGAAAAACUCCAGCAGCUGACAGGGUGAGCUGCACAUACUUGGGGAAGGCUUUUAAAAGGAUGAACACUUGAGAUAUUUUCCUCUUGUGAAGCUAUCAGAAUAAUGCUGUCUGUGGGCAGGCUGAAUGCCUUGAAACAGUGGCUGUAGCUUACAGAUUUGAGUUGAAAUGUUGGGAAAUUGAGGUCUCUUAAAGCAAACUAGUAGCACCAGCCAGUUUGUGCCAGAACUGAGACCAUGUAAAACCAGUGACCACCUCCUCUGCCACUGCAGAAUCCCAGUUCCCCAGCCUCAGCCCCUCCCACUCCAUUCAAUUUUGGAGACCAGUGCAGGGUUUAGAGCUUUCUUUGUCUCCAUUUUAAAGCUAAGAAAAUAGAAAUCAAGACAGAAUGGCUCUUUUUUUGAAGUGCAGAAGUGUACUGCUGAGAUCCCAACUUUGCAUGCGGUUUCCUAAAGAAGUCAGCUGAUUUUUUGACAUGCUGAGCAGCUUCUGAAGCCAAAUGGAAAUUCAUGCGGAGACACAGCUGGGUCACUAAUGUGAAAAGGGCUUGGGAUGAAAGGCACUAUGUGAAAUUUUCUGUCAUGUGGUUGCUUUGACUUCAUAGACUUCCACACCAUUGCUGAAGCUUAAACAAUUCUAAAGAUGCAGGUGUUAGACAGCACUACUGGGCUUCUUGGAGCUCAUACAUCACAAGUCUGAACUCUUAAAGAGGCUGAGUCUUCCUCUUACUGUUAUUUGUUCUCCUAGAUUUCCUUUGCUCCUAGGACAUGAGUUUCUAUUUGCCUGUGUUCCUUAUUUGGCUUCUGGGAGAAGAAUGAGGGGCAUGCAGAUGUGCUUGAGGACACAUCGAGCAGAAACACCAGGUCCAGUUCUUGGAGCACCAGGAGCUUCAGAAUUGCAGCCAAACGUUUUGGCUUUGACCCAUUUUUGGUAGUAGGUCAGACCAAUCUUUGGGCAAAAUUUCCAUGCUCAGCCCAGCCCGGUUUGGGGAAUGUCUGGAUCCCCAGGUAAUGUUCAUCUAUGUUGUUAAUUCAUUGCUGAUGUGGUGGUCCAGCAUGGUCCUCACACUGCUCCCCAGCACACACCAGUUCCCAAGGUCCCUGCAUGGUGCUUCCUACCACACUCAUGCCAAGAGGUACCUGGAGGUACCAGUUUCUAUUUAACACAGCACAGCUAAAUCUCCCCAGGUAGGGGCACUUUGCAGCCCAAAGCAAGUGUUUUAUGAUGAAGAUUAUACUGCCUUCCUGUGGUGAAAUACUAUGCUAUCUUUUAGCACAUAUUUUAUAUAUACACACCAUAUAUAUGUGUAAAUACAUCUCUAAGGCUAUUAUGCCCUAUGUUACAUUGACAACAAUUUCCAAGGUUCUUUACUACAGGAGGUUUCCCUGUUUAUUAUGGGAAAAUAUGACAAAUUUUUGUCAAAAGUAGGUUUUUCUAAAGAGAAAAUCUCCCUUCGUUUCCAACUUGUGCAUUUAAUGAUUUGGCCUCUCCAGCUCCCCCAAGCGGAAUUGCUCAUUAGCUUGUAAGCACUUUAAAUUCGGACCAUAUUACAAUGAACAGUAACAUGUAGAUUAAAACAGCAUUUCCACUAUAGUUUGAGGAAAAAAACUUUAAAAGGACCUGCUGAGAUGAAAACACUGUUUCUGGACUUGAAUGCAAUGAUACUUACCAAAAAGAGUGAAAUGGUAUACAGGACACUUCAGAAAACAAUGGUUUUGAAGACAUAGAUUUCUGCAUGUUCUGAGAUUAUCUCAAGUUCAGGCAUCUCAAUUCCAAAGCAGUAUGGCUAAACAUAUUUUUUUUAAUGUGAAGUGAUUGUUUUUAUGACAUCAAAAUAUUUAAUUAUAAUUUCUGGUUUUAAACCUUUUAAUUCCAAAGUUGGUUCUUUCGAAAUGUCGGUUCAAGAAAAAAGCUAGGCCUUUCAUUGUAGAUCUCUUCAAUCUUAUCAGAUUGCUUCUUCUGUAAAACAAAGUUAUACAAGGUUGACAAACAUGUUUAAAUUUAAAUUGUUUCUUUUGGUUUGAGAUUUCAUUAGUGAAAAAAAGCACUUUAGUGUGCCAAGAAUACUGUACACUCAUCAAUUAUUCCUGUUACAGCUGAAGAUUUUUUGAAGUAGGGAUAUUUAAAGGGUUCCAAAAAAAUCCAAAGCCAAAAGAAAUCACACCUUUUAAUUCUGGAUAUGAGGUGAAAACCAGGAUCCUAAAAUUUUAACAGAGUGCUUUGGGGAGUGUAUCUGAUCCAGACCAGCCCUUCUUAUGAUUUUUGAAUUGAAGUCCUCCAAAAGGACUUUAAAAUCCCUUAAAAUACAAUUGCUUGCUGCUAUGAUUCGACAGCCAAGAAACAAACAAAAAAAAAUGGAGGAGGUAGAACUGGUGCUGGAAAUUUUACACCUGGCACACACAAGUCAGAUCUGGAGGGUGUAAGUUGAGGGCAAUGCUGCACGGUGCGUUGUCAGGUGAGAAUUCAGAUCUGGGGCUUCAGUCCGUAAUUAUCAAAUGUGUGAAGAUUUGCCUGCUAGCAAACUUGGAUCUGGAGCGUCAAUGUCAUAUGCUCACACACAAUGAGAAAUCAGAUUCUCCUUCCUUCAAAAACCUGGCACUAAGUAUCUUGGCAUUGCACAAUAUAUUCUAAAUAUGUGGAAAUACAGGUAUAUACUGCAUACACUUAAAUGUGUGUUUUUGAAUAGCACGAAAACCUAAUAGUUUUGUAAAAUUUAAAAUAUAUUUUCAUCAAACUGUUUUGCAGGUGAAUUUUCUGAAGUUUGGGAAACAUUUUAUUUACACAGAGGAAGAUUUGAUAGCGUAUGUUAAUCAGGUUGGAGAUUUCAUUGUGUCUCCUCUCUCACUUUUAAGUAAAACUGCACAAUUUGACUCUCAAUUUUUCACAUAAUCCUUUUGACCUCAAGGAAGACCUUUCAGUAUUACAAAACCUUCUGCAAAUAGAUUUUGUCAGGGAAGUAGGAAGGUGCAUCUGUUUGGGUUUCUAUUUGCAUGGGGAACUGGAGGGAAGGAGAAAUGGAGAUGUGGAGGAAGGACCACAAGAUCCAUCACCAGAUCACGUCCUGGCCACGUCUGUGGUAGAUCUUGAUGCUGGCUCUGGGUGUGCUAGCUGGGGUUUGCUACUGCUGAUUUGACCUCAUUUGUUUUCAUAUCUAAACAGGUUUCUAACCAAGUUUCACCUGGGCUACAACUACUCCCAGAGGAGAGGUGAACAUCAAUGGUAAAUGCAGAUUAUUUUUAGCCAAAUUCUGGAGUCCUGAUAUACCUCAGUUUUCACUUUCUCAGCACAUUUUAUUCCAUUUUAUUAGGUCAUUUAGCAAAUAAUUUUAAUUUUCUGCUUAGAUCUAAAUUUCUGAAAGUAAUGUACUGUUGUACAGUUAAUGAGUCUGCUAAUAAGCUCCAAGAAAAUGUGAUUUGCAAAUCAUUCCAGGUCAUAACUGUCACUCAGACCCUAUGCCAAUUAGCAUAACCAUUAACAACUAUCCCUAAGAGGUCCUUGAAAUUUAAAUGAGAUUUCCUAAGAUCCCUUUUACUAGUGAGGUUGAAGAUUCCGUCUCAUAUGGAAAAUGCAGCCUGAUAAGAAGCAAUAAUUCAUUAAAGACAAAGUAUAUAUUUGUUUAGACAUAAAUGCCCACCUGGGUUCUGAGCAACAGCCAUCCCUCUGUAACUUGGUGUUUGUUUGCCCUUACACCAAUAUUAAGAGGUGCCAUGGCCAACUAACUACUUGAGCAGUGAAGAGUUGCUGUCAAGACACUGGUACAACAACAAAAUGGGUGACUUUAUUGCUAAUAUAAAAAACAUGGUAGAAAGGUGGCGGGGUGAGGGUAGGGGUGUUUAGGGAGCAAUGUUUUACCCACAAGGUAAAUCUUGGUGGUUUUAGUGACUUGGUAGACUUGGUUUUCUUGAAAAAAAGGCUGCGUGAAGGCCUGUGAGUUGUGGCCAAUGCUGCAAUGCUCAAAGGUGCCGCCCGGACUGGAGCUCUGCUGGGUGCAAAUUUUGGUUGGCUGCAAUUUGGUUGGCUUACAAGUUCUUUUAUUUUCCUGUUUUCUUCUGGUUUAAAGCAACAUUAAGGGCAUCUAGGACUGGGGAAAGGAUGUACACAGAGACAAUAUCAUGCAAACAACACCAGCUGAUUACGAUGAUGAUUAUUAAUAGUAACAUCAAACAGCAGCUGGGUCCUGAUUGAUUAAAGAUGACUGGGAGGUCCAGAAGGCCUUAGAGCACUUUCCAAGGGCUGUUUUUGCUUUUUGUGAUGGAUCCUGACCAGCUGUCACCGGGACGUGGCAGGUUUGCACAGCCGGGUCCCGCUAACCCAUUUCAUGUCUCGCCAAGACUCUGCUGGGCAGGUACGACCCUCUCCGAGCUGCCAGUAAGCAGCUGUAUCUCAAAGGAAACUACAGCUCAGGCUUGUCAAAGCUCAAUAACCACCAGGGUUUCUUAUUUAAUAUGGAGACUUUAUGGAAAUUCCUGUUUUCUGUAGCAAACCUGGGAGAGUGUGGUUCUUAAACCAUUCCCAACUCAGGCCUUAUUAUGAAGCUGUAGUUUUCUUGGCCAUGUUGGCUGUUAAUAGAUGAUCGUUCACCAUAUUUUUUUUCUCAUGAUAGGAACAGCCAGUGGCAUAUAAAUCAUAUUUUCAUGCAAGAAACCAGGUUCAGAUUUUUUGGUAUUUGGCCUUAAUUGCCUUCUUACGUUUUGUUAGACAAGAAAGGAUAUUAACAGGAUUGCGCAAUGGCCAAUUAGUUUUAAAGGUCUUUAGUUCCAUUACUUAUCUGAAAUAAUUUGUAAUCUUCCUUUGACAAAGGCAGCUGAGAAACCCUUUUUGAUGAUAACACUAAACCAGUCUGCUAGAGCACAUCCCGAUUAACAUAUACAAGGGAUGUUACACCAAACAGAAAUUCAAUUUAAGAGAUCUCACAGCUCCAACCAUGUCCCAAUUAUGUUCACAUCCUUCUGCAAACUUCUCUGUUUCACCUUCUUGUCCCCAUCUUCAGAGGUCUCAGCAUGAAUUUAUCAUGCUUAUCUUGCUGUUGUUCACAUGCAGCCUACCCACCACUUCUUUUCCGUAGUGUUCUUUGAUCUCUUCUUUGCUGAACCGUUAUGAUGCUGCUGUCCAUGGAGGUGAAGGGGACUGUGUUACUGGGAAAGUAGAAGGUAUGUGCAUCCUUGGACUCUUCCGCAGGUCUUAGGGGUAUGAGAUAAAGGCACUGACUUUGCUCUUGGUGAGUCAUUUAGGGUCUGGAAGCUGAUUAUUUCAGAAAAGGACUUUUACCCUCCCAUCUCUAACCCAACUGGGGCUCAGCACCCUGGGGAGAGGCGGCUGCUCCUGGAUCUCAGGCCAGGGCACUGGGAGGGCUGGUGGGUUGUUCUGUCACUUGAGCAGAAUAGAAGAAACUUAAGCACAGACCCCAUCACAUUCGGAGAGGGCACCAGCUAUUUACUGAAGCCCUUCCCCAUGCUGGGAGAUCUUGGGCACUUGCCAGCUGCCAGACUUCUUUCUCUGUUUUAAAGCAUUAGAUAGACAGAUGGAAAGCUGUAAAAGGAUCUUUUGAAAGAAGUAUAAUAUCACUGCCCUUGGUAUAAUGCAAAUAGGAGUAAUUUUUUCGCCUUUGACCACUGGAAAAAGAUUUGAGGAAAAAAGCAUUAAGGGGAACAAAGAAAGCAAGCAUGGGUUGAAGACUCUAAAUAGAGCCAGCAGGAUCCCCUAAUAGGAAGUAAAAUCCUCAUUAAUGAGCUGUUAUUACUUCAAAAAGCAGAGGUUGAAAUCAGUUCGUAAGGAGCUGAGCCAUCUAAGCGCAUCUGCAGACAAAGCACAUUCUUAUUAUAGGAGCGGCCUUUCUGCUAUCGCUGAACAUUUCUUCUGAGUCUUCUGUAGGUAUAUCAAGGUAAACCUUUUUUUUUUUUUGUCGGCUGAGGACACUGUUUAAAGUGGAGGUUUUCUCCUCUUUUUGGUGUGCGGAUUAUAUCACCUUUUAAAUAGUGUGGGAGACCCCUAAAUGUUGUCCUAGCCCUAGUCAAUAAAGAGCCAGCCACGGUGGCAUCAAGAAACAGAGGACAAGGCACUUUAGCACCAAAAUAGCCAGAGAGACUUAAAUCUAUGUCGUCUUCUCUCUCUCACUCCCAUAAACCUGUGCUGGAGAGAGCACUGAUGUGACAUUACUUCUAUUUUUCUAUUUCCUUUCCUUCUGUUUUUUAUUUAUUUGUUCCUAAGCCAGGAAGAUUUUUUAACAGCACUUGUGAAUGUCAGCAAUCAGAAUUCAAUGCCACGGAGACCGAAAUCAGCUGUCACCUCUCAAACGCCUCUCCAAUGUUGAAAGUGUCAAACAAGUUUGCCAAAACGUGGGCAGCUGCCUGCACACAAAGCAUUCUUCUGGGGCUGGGUUCUGAUACCUGCUCUCAUACUAAAUGUUGUCUUUUCCUGUAGGUAACACAGGCAACAAAAUCUGCUGCUUUCAGAAAAGCCCAACGGGCAUGAAAAUGUGGAGCCAACGCAUCUCUGCUAAAUUGCAGGUUGUGCUGCUGGUUGGUUAUUGUGCAGCCGUAAAAAUUCAAACCAAUUUGAAGAGGUCUGUGUGCCAGUGAGCUGGCAGAGCUCCCCCCGCUUGAGGGAGAUCAGGAUUUGGUCUUUGUGUGGAAAGAUCCUGACUUUUCAACUUCCUCAGUUGGCUGGUCACAGUACUACAGUAGUUGAAUAAGCUGAAAUCAAGAAAAUUAGUCCUUUAGUUCCUGCAAAAGUGACCACGAGUUCUGGGUGAGACAGGUGAGUUGGUUUGCCCUCCUCUUAUCUGCAGUGACAAUAUUGUGACAUCCAGACGGUGCAUUUGUAGUGUAAGCUAUGUCAUAUAUUGUAAUAAGUUUACAUGGUGAGCAUGUAAUCUUGGAAGCCAAACAGACAUUUUUGGUUUUAAAACAAAAAGGUAUUUAUGGUUUGAAAAAUAUCUCAUUGUACUUUUGAAAAGCUUUUUUGGGCUUUUGUUUUUAUCUGUCCUGGCGUGUGUUUGCUGGCAAUUCUUCCUCUUUCAUGUUUUGCUUUCUCCAUCCACACAGUGGAGAAGACAUUUACCAUAUGUGUAUAACCCAGUGGGAUUCCCUUGCUCUAAACCUGCAAUUAAUCCUAACUACUAUUAUUUCUUUACUGCAGAAGGCACUUUUCACACCUUGCAUUAUCGAAGCAGCACGAUACACGUCUCACCAUCUCCUUUCCAUUGUGUGCAGCAUCCCCUACCUUUCCCGAUCAUGCAGAGAUGAUUAACAUUACCUGACACAAUAGCAGGUCCCUGACAUGGCUUCCUGAGGCAUUUCAUGAAUGCAAUAAGCUUCAGAAAACCUGUUUGUGAGGAGAGGUACAAACAUGUCUCACCUGUGUGCGUUGGUGCGACCUCGCAGGGUGUUCGGUACCAUGCAUUUCAAGGCCAAGCACUCAAUGCCAUGGAGUGUUCUGUUCUCUCUCUCCUGGCUCCAUCCCAGUAGCCACGGUAAUAGCGCAUCCUGAGAAAGAUGCAGCUGGCAAAGAGCACAGUGUAUUCCCCUUAUUGCUUAUGACAGGGAAGCUGAGGAGCAGGAACCUUCUAUUCUCACUGUGGUAGAAUUAAUGCUGGUGCUCCUGUGCUGUUCUCUCCUCUUCAGCUGCCUGCCCACCUCGAGCCCUCCUUCAUCCAGACACCCGUCUAAAGGAGGGGACAACACACAAAUAUUAAUAAUUGCAUUAUGAGUUCCAAAGCCAGGAAGCUUGCCUGGCCGUUUCAUCAUUGAUAUGAUAAUGUGGUGAGUAGAGACGAUACCAUCAGGAGUCCUUUUCAUCUCUGGAGAUAGUGGAUAAAUUAGAUAUGUAUCUUAGACUUGAAAAGGGCUCUUAUUGAAGGCUUUGCUGAAAGUCCUGAUCUCUAUGGUUUAUAUGUAUACUUUGAAACUUGUUAACACCCUGCUCCCUCUUCCCAUCACAGGACUGUAAUUGUGGAGGAGCUUCAAAGAGCUCUGCUCCUGCCUUCUGUUUCUGAGGCGGGCUGGGCACUAGGGCUCAUUUACCAAACUACCUGGCAGGAGAAAACAGACUUUUUCAAGGAUAUCCAUUUCAAACACUGUGACCAAAGCAAGCAGUAACACUUUGGCCUCUGUGCUCUUUUCAUGUGUGGAUCUCAAAAUGCUUUGGCAUCACUAAUUUGAAGCAGAAAUCUCGCUAAUUAGUAUUUAUAUUUGAGAUGGAGGGAUGUGUUUUGCAAGUCAGUGAUGGUAUGAGCAGCCAUGAUUUACCACCAGGUGAGGGAUAAUGUAUGGUAGAGUAGGCCUUGUUCAUUUGUUUUAAAAAGCUCGGUUCGCUUUGGUUGUCGAGAGUUUUACAUCAUGAGGUCUCUAACAUGAGUGGGAAAACCAAACAUAGUCUUGAAAUAUUUGUGCCCAAUUCCUUUCUCUCCCAAAAGUUACACAGAUGUGGAGGAGGGGACUGAUGUCUAAGUGGAGAUUAGAUUAUUUUUCCCCCUCUGUCACCUAUAGUGUCAGUAAUUGUCAAUUGAACUCAGAGAAGUUUGAUGCUGAACUCGCCUAACUCAGAACCACUGGAAGUUUUGUGUGUUGUGCGUCGGAAACCAGGAUUUUAUAGAAACCUUUGGCUAAGAAACGUUUCUGGGAAGGAAAGGCAGGGCUGAUUUGCAAGUCGAGGACCAGCACUUACUUGUGGUGGUUGGUGCUUUCUGGGUUGGGCAGAAGCUGCACUCUGGUAACAGCUGAUGGGCUUUGUGACACUUGCUGACAGGGACAGCAGUCACCUGUGUGCAAAGCAAGACCUGCUGCACCACCUAUCCUGCCAAAUAACUCCUUAUAUCGCUGCAGCACACCCAGCGUGAUGAGAUGGAGACCAACAAGUUACUUCUGGAAAAACUGUUCUGCAUUACAACCCAUUUGCCAUGCCCUUUGUUUUCAGCAUGCAAAGCACAAAUUAUCCAAACAAACCCUGUGUAGAUAGCUGGGAGAAAAGAAGCCUCUGGAUCAGGAGGGCUGGAGAUCUUGAUGGUCUUUCACAAGACCAUUAUGUCCUCAAAGGCAUCACUUGGGAAACCAAAGCAUGAGAGUUUAGAUGCAGUUGUGGUGCUUCAGCUGGCAGAAGUGCUGCCUGUGCUACGCCUGAUGCAAAUUCUUUGCUUCAAUUGCUAGACCCAACAAGCAAAGCUUAAUAAGUCCCCAAAAUACAGUGGUAUAAUAAUGAAGAUUGCUGUGCAGCACUUAGCAAUAGAAAAGCAUGGGUAAUGAGGGACUUAAAUUGGAACAUAUCAUUUGUCAGAUAAUUUGGAGGCACAUCUCAAAACAGUGCAUAAGAAUGGAGUUUGCUGCACCAGCUGAAGUCACCCCAAAUGUUCGUUCUUUGUUGCAAAUCCCUUUUUAAAUUUAAGCUUUCAGAAAAGAACCAGGAACCAAUAUAAACGACAUAAAAGAAUGAAUGUUUACAACAUGUAUUUUGGGCUUGGUUCAAACACAAUAUUAGAAAGCUGAAUUAAUUGUGUUUGUAUUAAACCCAAAUAUAUUUUAUGAAACAAUGAGGCCUCUUAAAUGACUAACUGCUGCCCAAAAUAUAUUUUCGCUGAACCAAACUUGAUAACAGCAUACCCCUCUUAAAUUGGUCAGGAGAACUGCUGCCAAAUGACAAUUCUGUGGCCCAUAUUUAUUCACCAUCUGUGACUUCCACAUCAAUUUGCUCAUUUUAAAAAUCAAAACUUGGUAUUUUUUUUCUCCCCCUCUUCUCUCUUUUCCCUUCUCUGCCAGCGCUGCAGGCUAAAUCCAACGGCUGAAAACCAAGCCAUGCCUUUCGUCCUGUUGCAGAAAUGAUGCUGAUGAUGCAUGAGGCAUGAUGCUCCUCUGCGGCUCUGUUGGAUUCAUGAGCUGUUCUUCAGAUGGCAAGAGAAAGAUGUCGUCUGGAGGCAGCAGCUUGCACGAUGGGAGACGACGUGAGGGUGGGUGCGGGGGUACCGCUCGCCUGCCUGAACCAGGAUCAAGUCAAAUGAACGAUGCAUGAAGGAAAAAGGAAACACUCUCCGAGGCAAUUUUCUUGGAGGGAUAAAAUUACCUGAGGAAUGAUUGACAAAUUAGAAGCACUUUGCACCUAAUUUUAAUGUGUUCGGAUCUUAGGGAGGAGAAGUAUGUUAAGUUUCAAAUUACCCACUUUACCAGUUGCUGCCUUCUCUAAAAUCAAAAUCAAACGAGGCUUUUGGUACCAAAUCUGAAAGAAACAAAUUACUUUCUAGGGCACACUGCAUUCUUAAAGCGGUUUUAUUUGAAAGUCCAGCUGAGCAAGUUAAUUUAAGCAGUGAGCUGGUCCAUGACAGUCGAACACAUAUUAUUAAGGCCAGUUACUUCUAGGAGUACAAAUCUCACUGGCAGGUAAACUUGACCUUGGGCUCUAACUCAAAGCUAUCUGAUGUCCAUGAGAGGCUUUCAAUUGACUUAAUGGCCCCUGAAGUAGACCUCAGGCAACAUCAGUAAUCGCUUGAUUUACCAGCCUGUGACCCACAUUUCCAGGAAAUAAGGAGCAAUUUCCCAAAGUUCUCUUUCUUCCUACUCAUCUGGACAACAUCAAUUCUUGCACUAGCCCUGGCACCAUCCUACAGCCGCUUAUAUGUCUCUGCCAUAAGAGAAACUCCUGGAGGACACCUGAUGUCCUGGAGGCUAUGCCCUUAUUCUAUAUGUCCACCUAUAUAUAUAAUAUAUCCUUUGCUGCCUAUGCUUGAGCUUGUGAGGCAGAGGGGAGACCCAUAACCGGGCUGAAAAGUGCCUUUCAAGCUGGGCUGCUCCUUGGUGCAUCUCUGAAGCUGUUUCCUGUGACCUGAGUCCUUACACGCCUGCUGGCAACACGAUGUGUCCAUUUUAUUUAAUGGAAGCGAUCUGAAAUAGCCAGUUCAACAUCCCAAUUUACUAAUGGGACUUAUUGAAGCUUAUGAGCUGCCUUGCCUUGCAACACAAUUAAAUUUCAGGAAACACAAAAUAUUCCAGUGAGGCUGGUGGAUUUGUAAUACUAUUUGAGGCUUAAUGCAUAAUAAAAAUCUGCCAUUUGAGGUUUAAUAUAAUAUGCAACAGCCCUAAAUGACCAGUAAAAACAUUAUGCAAAUUUUUAAGGACGUUAUUGCCUCCUGUAAAUGACAAUUUAUCAAUGGCUUGCAAACGAAGGGCUUUCCUCAUAGUUACGAACCAAAGAGAAUACAGAAAUAAGCAGGCGUAGGUGGGUUAUAGAAACAGUACAGCACCGGAAAGCUGUACAGUGUGAAUCCUUGGUGGGCCCUCACGUCAGUCAGGGAAGGGGAGUAAUGCACUAUUUGUUAACCAUUUUUAGACCUUUAUUUGUAAACAUAAGGGUAAAAUUCCCACAUUUAUUGUCAGUAGACUUCUUCUUUUAGCACAUGAAUCUGAAUUAUAAAGUGUAACACUGCAAGAUUAUUAAAGUGCUCAGUAUCAGGGUGUCCAGGGGUCCCUGGGGGUAUCUGCUGGUUGAUAUCACCAUUUUCAGGAACAAGCAGGACAGUGUGGAUAGAGCUGGACCCCAAGAGAUGACCCCACUGCAUUAAAGUACCUAACAUUUUAACAGGUUUUAAAAAAUGUUUCAGCUAUUAUGGAGCCCUUUUUACAGUCAUGCCAUCAAUUCUGCAUGAGGAGAUAUUUUAUUUUGAAUGUGCUACUAAGACGCGGAGGCAUUUGCAUUGUUAAUUUCUCAGAUGUCAAACAAACACCAUUAUUGCAAAAUGAAUGUAGCUACCCAGCUGAGAAACAGAUCCAUUCACCGCAAAUAAGCAAAACUUAAAAAAUGAAUGAGUUCGACUGAUUGCAAGUAUCAUCGGAAAUUAAUAAUGCUCUAGGACUAAUUUUUCAUGCAAAAGACAAUGAAAGCGUUGUGACUCUUUGUUUCCUGUUGUCAAUCUUCACUCCUCCCUGAGGUGUACAAGAUCAUCACUGGCUUCACCUUUAAAGGUCCCGAAUAAGAGCACCGGGUUUGUUGUCAGUCUGGGGAACUGAUCUUUCCUAUGACAUAUGAUGUGACCCUCAAGUCCUGACAGUUGAGACAGCUUUGUGUUCCCCUGACCAGCUGGACUCCCGAGCAAGGCACUUGUCUGCUGUCAUUGCCUCAUCCACGUCAGAUCCUUCUCAAUCUGCAAGAAUCUGCAAAUUUGCAAGCCUAAACCUUUUUCACUGCGAUUCUUCCUUUUUAUUUGCUCUCACACUGCACCCUUCCUUCGGUAGGCACUGCAUAGGCUCCUUUUCCUUGCCUAGUUUCUUCUUCCCUCUCUACUCCAUGGCCACGACAAUCUUUAUGUCUUUGUGUUUGUAAUUACAACUUCAGCUCUUGGAAAAUCAGGUGAGAUGAACUUGUUAUGUGACAAACGUAAACAGCUCCAAAAAAGAACCGUUUUGAAGUAUUUGUCUGUGUCUGUAUAUUCAUCGACUAGAUGAAUCACUUGAGUUAUCUAAAGUGUGGAAGAGAAAAAUCUAAUGGAAAUGAUAAUAUGAUUACUGCCCAUAAUUCUCACAAAUCAAGCAUAUCAUUUAUGCACAAGUAGGUUGUCUGAAUGUCUGUGGGUUUUUCAUUUUAUUAUUUAAAGCUGAUUAAACAACUGAUUGUAGGCCCUUAUGUACCCUUCCACACAGUUGAUACUUGAAGUGAAAAGCAACAGCUAGAUACUUAUUUUAUGACUAUGCAACAGCCGAGCCUCAUGGGGCUGAAGUCUGUGUGCCCUUCUCUGUGUCAUCUUCUUUCAAAUAUUGAGAAAAUACGAGAGACACAUUUAUUUACAGCUGUACUUACUGAGGAGCUAAUAAACCAGUCUCCACGUCAA